ACUGAUCUCAGGAGGAUAUGUGAAAGAUGUGGUGACUUAUAUGGUUAUGGAUAACUUGGUGGUGAAGCCCAUGUCCACCAUUUCAAGCAUUACUCUCAUCAAUAGCUUUGGUGUGAAGGAUUUGAGUCAGCUUGAGGAGAAAACAUUGCCUUUUGGAAAAGAUGAGGCAUUGAAGCUGUUGAAGGCGUCUUUGAUGACUAAACAAGUGCUCACAACUCUAUUUCAGCAGGAUGUUUAGAUCGUUUUGCUAGAGUAGCCGUGGCGCAUGCAUGCUAUAUAUCUUUUGAGUGAUCUUAUCUUUUGUUAUCAUAUAUGGAUGUUCAUGAGUUUGGUUGAGGAUUUGAUCUUAAGUAAUUUAUGAUCGUAUGUAAGCUUUCAAA